rnacentral:rRNA from 1 species
GAUGAACGCUGGCGGCGUGCCUAAUACAUACAAGUCGAGCGAACGGACGAGAAGCUUGCUUUUCUGAUGUUAGCGGCGGACGGGUGAGUAACACGUGGAUAACCUACCUAUAAGACUGGGAUAACUUCGGGAAACCGGAGCUAAUACCGGAUAAUAUUUUGAACCGCAUGGUUCAAAAGUGAAAGACGGUCUUGCUGUCACUUAUAGAUGGAUCCGCGCUGCAUUAGCUAGUUGGUAAGGUAACGGCUUACCAAGGCAACGAUGCAUAGCCGACCUGAGAGGGUGAUCGGCCACACUGGAACUGAGACACGGUCCAGACUCCUACGGGAGGCAGCAGUAGGGAAUCUUCCGCAAUGGGCGAAAGCCUGACGGAGCAACGCCGCGUGAGUGAUGAAGGUCUUCGGAUCGUAAAACUCUGUUAUUAGGGAAGAACAUAUGUGUAAGUAACUGUGCACAUCUUGACGGUACCUAAUCAGAAAGCCACGGCUAACUACGU